rnacentral:rRNA from 1 species
GACGAACGCUGGCGGCGUGCCUAAUACAUGCAAGUAGAACGCUGAAGAGAGGAGCUUGCUCUUCUUGGAUGAGUUGCGAACGGGUGAGUAACGCGUAGGUAACCUGCCUUGUAGCGGGGGAUAACUAUUGGAAACGAUAGCUAAUACCGCAUAACAAUGGAUGACACAUGUCAUUUAUUUGAAAGGGGCAAUUGCUCCACUACAAGAUGGACCUGCGUUGUAUUAGCUAGUAGGUGAGGUAACGGCUCACCUAGGCGACGAUACAUAGCCGACCUGAGAGGGUGAUCGGCCACACUGGGACUGAGACACGGCCCAGACUCCUACGGGAGGCAGCAGUAGGGAAUCUUCGGCAAUGGGGGCAACCCUGACCGAGCAACGCCGCGUGAGUGAAGAAAGUUUUCGGAUCGUAAAGCUCUGUUGUAAGUCAAGAACGAGUGUGAGAGUGGAAAGUUCACACUGUGACGGUAGCUUACCCGAAAGGGACGGCUUACUACGUGCCAGCAGCCGCGGGUAUACGUAGGUCCCGAGCGUUGCCCGAAUUAUUGGGCGUUAAGCGAGCGCAGCGGUUUGAUAGUCUGAAGUAAAGGCUGUGGCUCAACCAUAGUUCGCUUUGGAAACUGUCAAACUUGAGUGCAGAAGGGGAGAGUGGAAUUCCAUGUGUAGCGGUGAAAUGCGUAGAUAUAUGGAGGAACACCGGUGGCGAAAGCGGCUCUCUGGUCUGUAACUGACGCUGAGGCUCGAAAGCGUGGGGAGCGAACAGGAUUAGAUACCCUGGUAGUCCACGCCGUAAACGAUGAGUGCUAGGUGUUGGAUCCUUUCCGGGAUUCAGUGCCGCAGCUAACGCAUUAAGCACUCCGCCUGGGGAGUACGACCGCAAGGUUGAAACUCAAAGGAAUUGACGGGGGCCCGCACAAGCGGUGGAGCAUGUGGUUUAAUUCGAAGCAACGCGAAGAACCUUACCAGGUCUUGACAUCCCGAUGCUAUUUCUAGAGAUAGAAAGUUACUUCGGUACAUCGGUGACAGGUGGUGCAUGGUUGUCGUCAGCUCGUGUCGUGAGAUGUUGGGUUAAGUCCCGCAACGAGCGCAACCCCUAUUGUUAGUUGCCAUCAUUCAGUUGGGCACUCUAGCGAGACUGCCGGUAAUAAACCGGAGGAAGGUGGGGAUGACGUCAAAUCAUCAUGCCCCCUAUGACCUGGGCUACACACGUGCUACAAUGGUUGGUACAACGAGUUGCGAGUCGGUGACGGCAAGCUAAUCUCUUAAAGCCAAUCUCAGUUCGGAUUGUAGGCUGCAACUCGCCUACAUGAAGUCGGAAUCGCUAGUAAUCGCGGAUCAGCACGCCGCGGUGAAUACGUUCCCGGGCCU